rnacentral:rRNA from 1 species
CCUACGGGAGGCAGCAGUGAGGAAUAUUGCACAAUGGACGAGAGUCUGAACCAGCCAUGUCGCGUGAAGGAUGACUGCCCUCUGGGUUGUAAACUUCUUUUAUAAAGGGAUAAAACGAGGCACGUGUGCCUUUUUGCAUGUACUUUAUGAAUAAGGAUCGGCUAACUCCGUGCCAGCAGCCGCGGUAAUACGGAGGAUCCGAGCGUUAUCCGGAUUUAUUGGGUUUAAAGGGAGCGUAGAUGGGUUGUUAAGUCAGAUGUGAAAUCUUGGGGCUCAACCGUAAAAUUGCAAUUGAUACUGGCAGUCUUGAGUACAGUUGAGGGAGGCGGAAUUCGUGGUGUAGCGGUGAAAUGCUUAGAGAUCACGAAGAACCCCGGUUGCGAAGGCAGCUUACUAAACUGUGACUGACAUUGAUGCUCGAAAGUGUGGGGAUCAAACAGGAUUAGAUACCCCUGUAGUC